UACGUAGGUCGCAAGCGUUGUCCGGAUUUACUGGGCGUAAAGAGCGCGCAGGCGGCUGGUCAAGUCCGAUGUGAAAUCUCCCGGCUCAACUGGGACACUGCAUCGGAAACUGAUCGGCUUGAAGGUGGGAGAGGGUAGUGGAAUUCCCGGUGUAGUGGUGAAAUGCGUAGAUAUCGGGAGGAACACCAGUGGCGAAGGCGACUACCUGGCCCAUUCUUGACGCUGAGGCGCGAAAGCUAGGGGAGCGAACGGG
rnacentral:rRNA from 1 species